AAGGUGGGGGUCGCGGGUUCGAAUCCCGUCUCCCGCUCCAAUAAAACUUUGAAUAUAUUCAGUGCCACUUGAAUA
rnacentral:tRNA from 1 species